AGGAAGGAGAAGUCGUAACAAGGUUUCCGUAGGUGAACCUGCGGAAGGAUCAUUGUCGAGACCGAAAUACAUACCGAGCGAUUUGGAGAACCCGUGAAAUAAGCGAACGAUUGUCCUGGUCCUCGCCUCCAUCUCCUCUUCGUGGGGAGGGGGGCCGCGGAGGAUGGAUGAAACACAAACCGGCGCAGCAUCGCGCCAAGGAAAGAUCGAAAAACACGAGCCCCGCGUCGGGCUUGGUGGCGUGGGGUGCUGUUGCACGCCAUGCGGAUGGACACGACUCUCGGCAAUGGAUAUCUCGGCUCUCGCAUCGAUGAAGAGCGCAGCGAAAUGCGAUACGUGGUGCGAAUUGCAGAAUCCCGCGAACCAUCGAGUCUUUGAACGCAAGUUGCGCCUGAGGCCAGCCGGCCAAGGGCACGUUCGCCUGGGCGUCAAGCGUUGCGUCGCUCCAUGCCAGCUCGGUCCUGCCUAAUGGGCGUGUCGGCCGUGGCUUGGAAGUGCAGAGUGGCUCGUCGUGCCUGUUGGCGCGGCGGGCUGAAGAGCGGGCUUCGUCUCGCUGGCCGCGAACAACAAGGGAUGGGUCAAAGCUGUGAGCGCAGCCUGCGUUGUCUCGUGCUGGCCUGAGAGACGGAUUGUGCCUUCGAUUUGAUCCCGGCCCAUGCGCCGAUUGACAUGCGGCUGCUUGGAAUGCGACCCCAGGUUGGGCGAGGCUACCCGCCGAGUUUAAGCACAUCAAUA
rnacentral:rRNA from 1 species